GAAUUGAGGGUAUCCAUGGAGAUGCAUGUAGCUGAACUCAGUCAAGUUUCUAUCCAUUGUGUGUGCGCGCGCGCUUAUUUGGCAUCGUGUUCUUCCUUUUCAUGGGGAAUCAUAAAAGCAUAUGGAGGAACUAUGUAUAGGCUACAAAGAAGCAUAAGAAGCAUUUUUAUAGCAGAAGCCAAGUGUUCUGAUGAUUUUGUUUUUU